rnacentral:misc_RNA from 1 species
GAUGAAGAACGUAGCGAAAUGCGAUAAGUAGUGUGAAUUGCAGAAUUCAGUGAAUCAUCGAAUCUUUGAACGCACAUUGCGCCCUUUGGUAUUCCAAAGGGCAUGCCUGUUCGAGCGUCAUUUGUACCUUCAAGCUUUGCUUGGUGUUGGGUGUUUGUCUCGCCUUUGCGUGUAGACUCGCCUUAAAAUAAUUGGCAGCCGGCGUAUUGAUUUCGGAGCGCAGUACAUCUCGCGCUUUGCACUCAUAACGACAGCGUCCAAAAGUACAUUUUACACUCUUGACCUCGGAUCAGGUAGGGAUACCCGCUGAACUUAAGCAUAUCAAUAAGCGGAGGA